rnacentral:rRNA from 1 species
UACGAAGGGGACUAGCGUUGUUCGGAAUUACUGGGCGUAAAGGGUCGUAGGUGGCCAACUAAGUCAGACGUGAAAUCCCUCAGCUUAACUGGGGAACUGCGUCUGAUACUGGUUGGCUUGAGUGCAGGAGAGGAACGCGGAAUUCCAGGUGGUAGCGGUGAAAUGCGUAGAUAUCUGGAGGAACACCGGUGGCGAAGGCGGCGUUCUGGACUGCAACUGACACUGAUGAACGAAAGCCAGGGGAGCAAACGGG